UACGGGAGGCAGCAGUGGGGAAUAUUGGACAAUGGGCGAAAGCCUGAUCCAGCCAUGCCGCAUGAGUGAAGAAGGCCUUCGGGUUGUAAAGCUCUUUUAGUGAGAAAGAUAAUGACGGUACUCACAGAAGAAGUCCUGGCUAACUCCGUGCCAGCAGCCGCGGUAAUACGGAGAGGGCUAGCGUUAUUCGGAAUUAUUGGGCGUAAAGAGCGCGUAGGCUGAUUAGUAAGUUAAAAGUGAAAUCCCAAAGCUUAACUUUGGAAUUGCUUUUUAAAACUGCUAGUCUAGAGAUUGAAAGAGGAUAGAGGAAUUCCUAGUGUAGAGGUGAAAUUCGUAAAUAUUAGGAGGAACACCAGUGGCGAAGGCGUCUAUCUGGUUCAAAUCUGACGCUGAGGCGCGAAGGGCGUGGGGAGCGAAACAGGGAUUAGAUACCCGU
rnacentral:rRNA from 1 species